rnacentral:lncRNA from 1 species
GGAUCCUUAACCCACUGAACAAGGCCAGGGCUCGAACCCGCAUCCUCGUGGAUACUAGUUGGGUUCUUAACCUGCUAAGCCACAAUAGGAACUCCUAAUUUCAUAUUUUACUUUCAAAUCAGACAAGUCUUUUUUAUUUUAAGUUAAAGGUUAUUUUUUAAUUUUUAAUUUUUAAAUCUUUUUAUGGCUGUACCUGUGGCACAUGGAAUUUCCUAGGCUAGGGGUUGAAUUGGAGCUGCAGUUGCCAGCCUACGAGGCAGUGCUAAAUCUUUAACCCACUGAGCGAGGCCAGGAAUCACACCUGCAUCUGCGUGGAUACUAGUUAGGAUGGUUACUGCUGAGCCGCAGUGGGAACUCUUAGCUUUUUGUUCUGAAAUAAUGCCAGACUUACAAAAAAUUAGUGAAAAAUAGUAGAAUUCCUGGAUACUCUUCAACUAGUUUCUUGAAAUAGUAAUGCCUGUAUAAUCAUAGUAUAAAUCACAAUCGUAGCGUAGUAUGAGGAGUGUAAGUUACGCAGUCGUAGUAUGAAUCGCUUUGAAGCAGUACUGUGAGCUGGCUGAUGAACAUUGGCUACUCGAAUGUUCCCGUUUUCCGGUCCAGGAUGCUGUAUUGCAUUUCAGUGCCUCGUCACCUUGAUCUCCAGUCUGCACAGUUUCUCAGUCUGCCUUUGUCUCUCUAAGUCUGGCCCUGGUAGAUACCAGCUGGGUAUGCGGUAGGAUGCCUGUCAGUUUGGGUUGUUUGCUGUUUCCUUCUGAUUAAAGGCAGGGUGAGCAUUUUGGCAGGAACCCUGCGGAAGUGCUGAUGUUGUGUGCUGAGGGCACCACCAGAAGAGGCGCCACUGGUGGGCCUCCUAGAUUUCUCCUGAUAGAACAUUUGUUUAAAAAAAAAAUGUUUUUUUACUUAGGGCUGCACCCGCAGCCUACGGAAGUUCACAGGCUAAGGGUCCAAUCAGAGCCACAGCUGCGACCUACACCGCAACUCAUGGCGACACCAGAUCCUUAACCCACUGAGCAGGGCCAGGGGUUGAACCCACGUCCUCAAGGAUACUAGUUGGGCUUGUUACCACUGAGCCGCAAUAGGAACUCCCUGAAAUUUGUGUUUUUUUCUUUGUAGUUAGUAUUUUGGAUGGAGAUACCCGAAGAACCUGUGUUGUUUCUCAUCGUCCUUUAUUGCACUAGUUUUAGCCUCCAUUGGAGAUUCGUACCUACAGUAAUUAUGGUGGUGGCCGGGCGGUGGCUUUCCGUUUCCCCCUUUCCAUCUACAUACGUUAAUUGGCAUUUUGCUCUUAAGGAGGAACUCUUGCUCUCCCCACCCCCAUGUAUUCAUUUCUGUAUGUCAGCAUGGAUUUCUAGAUACUUAUUUUAUUCUAGUUUUUUUUUUGUUUUUUCUUUUUAGGGCCGCACCUGUGGCACGUGAAGGUUCCCAGGCCAGGGGUUGAAUCAGAGUGACAGCUGCUGGCCUCCACCACAGCCACAGCAACGCCAGAUCCGAGACAUGUGCCAGAUCCUUAACCCACUGAAGCAAGGCCAGAGAUUGAACCCACAGCCUCAUGGUUCCUAAUGGGAUUCGUUUCUGCUGUGCCGCAAUGGGAACUCCCCUAUUCUAGGGGUUUUAAUCCGUCAUAUUAAUGUUACAUUUGUUGCGUACAUUUGACUGUGGGGAGUGCCUUUGAAUUGGUGUCUGUGACCCUUUGACAUGCCCUCACCUGAACUUCCUUACUUUCUGGCACCAGGAGUUUCCAGGCUUAUUUUGUCCUUUCCCUGCUGCAGCCCCCAAAUCAGCUAUGUCUUUAAGGAGUCCUGCUUCCUGCUGGUGGAAAAUGGUAUUAGAAACCAAGAGGUGUGUGCUAGGUGUGCUUAUUGCUAGUGGGGUGCUUCUAGGCUGUCUUAACAAACAGCUGGAAAUGAUGCAUGCAUGCAUAUGCAGACACGUCUCCGUCUGUCUCAUUGUCUAGUCAACGUAUAAUAAAGUCCAUGAAUUCACAUGAAUAUCUUCAGUUCCAGUCCAACACCACAGAACUUUUUCCAGCCUUUCUUUUCUCCUUAUUUUUAGUUCCUUUUUCCCAGAGUUGAAAACCUGGCUUCUCUCUGCAGCAUCUUUGCUUGUCUGCUCAGUCUUUGACUACAUGCAGCUUAGUUUCAGAACUGCUCAUUCUCACCCCCAGGAAGAACAAGUGUAGGAACUGGAGUAGCCGUGUGUGUACGUAGGCAGCCCCACUUUCCGAAUGUUUGCUUUCUGCCACCUCACUUUCGUGAAGGAUCUACAUGAGGACCUGUUUUUGCUGAUGGGAAUCCAGAGAUGAUUUUCACUUUCAUGAGGAAAGGUAAUUGCUUCUGUACUCUUAUGCCGUUUUGGCAUAUGAAGGCUUUUAUAGGACAGCUCUGCUUCUGGGUAGUGGGGGAACCUGUAGUUCUUUUUGUCUUUAUCAUUCCAAAGUUUGAUGUUUAGUGUUCCCAAGUUAUUUAGGUUCUUUUUUUCCUUAUCGCUUUAUUGUGGUUAUUUUAUUUGCUUAUAGUACAGUUAGUUUUACUUGUUUUGUUUCUUUGUAUUCUAUUUUGGUUCUCACAUCCAAGUUGAUUUUAUUUAUUUUUUUGAGUAAGUGAAACAGUUACCAAGGUUCUAAAAAUCAGAGCUCGGAGUUCCCAUUGUGGUGCAGCGGAAAAAAAAUCUGACUAGGAGCCAGGGAUCGAACCUGCAACCUCAUGGUUCCUCGUCAGACUCGAUAACCAUUGAGCCACGACAGAAGCUCCCUUUUUUUGGCCAACUUGUGGCAUAUGGGAAUUCCUGGGCCAGGGUUUGAAUCUGAGCUGCAGCUGACACCUACACCAUAGCUGCGGUAAUGCCAGGUCUUUAACCCACUGUGCUGCAGUGGGCUCUUUGCCUAGUUUCUUAAUGGUGUCUUGGAUAAACGGAUGCUCUUAACUUUGUUGUUGAAUGUAGCACUUUUUCCUGUGGGUAGUGAUUUCCAUUCCUGUCCAGGAGGUCUCUCCUCGCCUUGAGGUCGUGAAAUACUCUCCUGUGUCUUCUUGAAACUUUAUGGUCUGGUUUCUAUGUUUAAGUCUGUGAUCCAUCUCAAGUUACUUUCUGUGUAUGGAGCACCUUGACUUUCAUGUUAUUUAUUUAUUUAUUCUCUUAGGGCCACACCUGUGGCAUAUGGAGGUUCCCAGGCUAGGGGACGAAUUGGAGCUGCAGCCGCAGCUGCUGGCCUCCACCACAGCCAUAGCGACACGGGAUCUGAGCUGCAUCUACCACCUACACCACAGCUCACUGCAUCACUGGAUGCUUAACCCACUGAGCAAGGCCAGGGAUCGAACCCUUGUCCUCGUGGAUUCUAGCUGGGUUUGUUAGUGCUGGGCCUCACCAGGGGCUCCCACCUUCACCUUUAGAGCAGUAGGUUAGCUUUGCUGGCUUUGAGUGUUCUAUAAAUAGACUAAUCCAGCGUACACGUCCUGAGUCUGGGCCUUCGUAUCCAGCAUCUUGUUUAGUGAUUCAUCCAUGGUAAAGGCUAUAGUUCAUUGGUCUUCGUUGUUGUAUAGUGUUUUGCUGCAUGAGUGUACCUUGGUUGGCUUGUUUGUAAACAUUCCCACACCAUGUAUCUUUGGGGCUGUAAUUAGGUGUUUAGCGGCCGGGUCAGUGUGUAGGUACAUGUUCAGCGUGAUCUGUUGAGCUGUGUUUUAAAACAGCUGAGUUUAUAUUUUCGGCGGCGGCGUAGGAAAGGUUUACUUGUUCUGUAAGCCGUCAUCAUUGGUGUUGAUGUUGUCUUCUGUCUUAACAGUGUGGUGGCUGUGAGUGGAGUGUAUGUUGGUGAAGUACAGGAUAGGUUCACCAUUAAAGAAAAAAUGAGUGUGAUUCGUUUCCUCUUCAAAGAGAAAAGUCACAGGGUUCACGCAGUUGAUACGGCAAAGGCGCGAGGUUGUGCUGGGGCAGGUGACGCGCUGAGGCGUGUCCUCCGUUCUCACUGGUGGAAGACGGUGUAGCUGUCGGGGACUGAAGCAGCCUUUGUGGAAAGACCCUAAUGACAGAGCCGACUCGCUGACGUCGGCUUAGCAGACUCCUCAGUUGUGCUUUCUCUUGGAAUUUGUCCUUUCAUCUAAUCUUGCAGUUUGGGGCGUUAAGUUAUUCGCGGGACCGUUUCUCCCGUGGCGUCCGUGUGGACAGCCCUCUCAUUUCUGCUUGUCCUCAGAUGAACCGUUCACUCACGGAUGCCCGGUUGCGGGGAGACCGAUGCAGGUGUGUCCUGUGAGAGCUUGGCGUCUGCGGCGUCACUUUCACCCUCGGCCUCGCUGGCACCCUGGCCCUGACGGCGGCCUCCUUGGGUUCUCCUCUGGAUUCAUCUGAUGAUUGUGCAGAGUCCUCGCUGCCGACUUUGUUCUGUCAUUUGGGAGGAAAGCGAGGAAUUCUUAACGAACGGCCGUACAGAGAGCUGGCUGCAGAGAGAGGCUCUCCCGUCAGUUAGAAAGCAGAGGCGAAGCGCCCCCAUCCUCCCGGGUGGUUCCCUGGUGCUGCCGCCCCCUUGUGACUGAAGUCGUUGUUGGCCCAGUUGGGAACACUUGCGUGUGGCAAGACAGUGCUUAUGGUGAUGGAAGCGCAUCAUGAUGCAGGAGAAGCGAGAUGCUUAGAGACGUCUUGGGUCUUAGACAUGGGGGUCUGGUGGACCCAUGUAGCAGUUGCAAGACGAAAUGUUUUCUCUAUUUACAAAAAAAAAAUAAAGGAAAUCUCUCAUCGUUCUUUGGGAGGCCCGUAAGAAAGACUAAAACUGCACUGUCGGCCUCCCAAUUAGUCAUCGCUGCCCAGAAAAACCGGUAACUGCGGUUGGGCCUCGCAGACCCCGGUUCUUCCCCGACAGCCGUCGGAAGAGUGACGUGUAGUCGAGGUCUGCGCUGGAGGGACAAGGUGGCGUGAGGGUGGACGCCACCUGUGAGUGGACGAACUGGUGAAUUGAGUGCCCUGAGCUUUUUGCAGAUAAAAGCCCCGAGUGACUGUCAACGUGUGGGUUAGAACUCUCGGGGAAAAUCUGCCAGAAAAGUUUAAACUCAAUUUUGAUGUGAUUUACAAAAAGAAACAAAAAAUUCUCUUCUGCAGAUUAUCAAGGAAAAGGUUUAUCUAAAAGAGGAAAAUCUCGAAGCUAAAGCAUUUGAAUUUACAUACAAUGAAGAGCUUAGAAAAUGUGCAUAAGGAGCUCCCACUGUGGCUCAGUCGGUUAAAAACCCUGCUAGUAUCUGUGAGGAUGCAGGUCCAUCCCUGGCCUCACCCCGUGGGUUAAGGACCCGGCAUUAUUGCGGGCUGCGGUGUGGGUCACACAUGCAGGUUAGGUGCAGUGCUGCUGUGGCUGUGGCUGUGGCC